rnacentral:lncRNA from 1 species
GCUGAUUUUACUCUAUUAUAGCAUUUAGAGGUAAAUAUAGGGAAUGGUUGGAGAUGCUCUUAGAGAAGGGUGAGCAUGAGGUUUCGAGGAUAGUUAUCCGGCGGUGGAAGAGACGAGGCAUUUGAAGGGUGCGGUUUAUAUCUGUCUAGCUAGACGAUGUUUGAUCUGUCUCCAUAGAACCUUUCUGAUCCUACGCUUUCUUUAUUUCUUUUAUUUAUUUUGGUCUAGGUGCUUAAGUGGAGGAAGUAAGUGGUGAGGGCUUCCGUGUUCUUCUUCUCUUUCUUUGGUUUGCAGAUUUAAAUUUUGUUCUAUUGAUAAAAAGCAGUAAUUUCUGUUUUUGGUUUGAGGGUUUGGGUUCUCUAACAAACGAUUCGGGAUCCAACAUGUGCAUGCUUUGGCAAUAAGGUUCUGACAGUUUUUUUUUUAUCUUUGUUAGUCUGUUUUGCUUUACAUGUGUAUUUAGUUUAUUCGUCUUAGGGCGAUAUCUUUUAGAGUUCUAGCUCUUACUUCUCUUCGAAUUUUUUUUUUUAAUUUUCUUUUCUGCAUUUAGUUUUCUCGCAUGUUCCUAUUUAAAAAAAAAAAAAUUAAUACGAAGAACUUAAAAAAACAGCUAAAACUUUCCAGCACAAAAUCAUUUCAAACGAAUGAAGUGAUAUGAGUUACAAUGACUGUAUCAUGUGUUACUUCGUAAUAAACGAGGUCUGGCACAUAACGGUUUUGUAUUAUUUUUUUUGAAACACUUUUGAA